AAAUUGAAGAGUUUGAUCAUGGCUCAGAUUGAACGCUGGCGGCAGGCCUAACACAUGCAAGUCGAACGGUAACAGGAAGAAGCUUGCUUCUUUGCUGACGAGUGGCGGACGGGUGAGUAAUGUCUGGGAAACUGCCUGAUGGAGGGGGAUAACUACUGGAAACGGUAGCUAAUACCGCAUAACGUCGCAAGACCAAAGAGGGGGACCUUCGGGCCUCUUGCCAUCGGAUGUGCCCAGAUGGGAUUAGCUAGUAGGUGGGGUAACGGCUCACCUAGGCGACGAUCCCUAGCUGGUCUGAGAGGAUGACCAGCCACACUGGAACUGAGACACGGUCCAGACUCCUACGGGAGGCAGCAGUGGGGAAUAUUGCACAAUGGGCGCAAGCCUGAUGCAGCCAUGCCGCGUGUAUGAAGAAGGCCUUCGGGUUGUAAAGUACUUUCAGCGGGGAGGAAGGGAGUAAAGUUAAUACCUUUGCUCAUUGACGUUACCCGCAGAAGAAGCACCGGCUAACUCCGUGCCAGCAGCCGCGGUAAUACGGAGGGUGCAAGCGUUAAUCGGAAUUACUGGGCGUAAAGCGCACGCAGGCGGUUUGUUAAGUCAGAUGUGAAAUCCCCGGGCUCAACCUGGGAACUGCAUCUGAUACUGGCAAGCUUGAGUCUCGUAGAGGGGGGUAGAAUUCCAGUGUAGCGGUGAAAUGCGUAGAGAUCUGGAGGAAUACCGGUGGCGAAGGCGGCCCCUGGACGAAGACUGACGCUCAGGUGCGAAAGCGUGGGAGCAAACAGGAUUAGAUACCCUGGUAGUCCACGCCGUAAACGAUGUCGACUUGGAGGUUGUGCCCUUGAGGCGUGGCUUCCGGAGCUAACGCGUUAAGUCGACCGCCUGGGGAGUACGGCCGCAAGGUUAAAACUCAAAUGAAUUGACGGGGGCCCGCACAAGCGGUGGAGCAUGUGGUUUAAUUCGAUGCAACGCGAAGAACCUUACCUGGUCUUGACAUCCACGGAAGUUUUCAGAGAUGAGAAUGUGCCUUCGGGAACCGUGAGACAGGUGCUGCAUGGCUGUCGUCAGCUCGUGUUGUGAAAUGUUGGGUUAAGUCCCGCAACGAGCGCAACCCUUAUCCUUUGUUGCCAGCGGUCCGGCCGGGAACUCAAAGGAGACUGCCAGUGAUAAACUGGAGGAAGGUGGGGAUGACGUCAAGUCAUCAUGGCCCUUACGACCAGGGCUACACACGUGCUACAAUGGCGCAUACAAAGAGAAGCGACCUCGCGAGAGCAAGCGGACCUCAUAAAGUGCGUCGUAGUCCGGAUUGGAGUCUGCAACUCGACUCCAUGAAGUCGGAAUCGCUAGUAAUCGUGGAUCAGAAUGCCACGGUGAAUACGUUCCCGGGCCUUGUACACACCGCCCGUCACACCAUGGGAGUGGGUUGCAAAAAGAAGUAGGUAGCUUAACCUUCGGGAGGGCGCUUACCACUUUGUGAUUCAUGACUGGGGUGAAGUCGUAACAAGGUAACCGUAGGGGAACCUGCGGUUGGAUCACCUCCUUA
rnacentral:rRNA from 1 species